AACGAACGCUGGCGGCAUGCCUAACACAUGCAAGUCGAACGAGACCUUCGGGUCUAGUGGCGCACGGGUGCGUAACGCGUGGGAACCUGCCCUUAGGUUCGGAAUAACUCCCCGAAAGGGGUGCUAAUACCGGAUAAUGUCUUCGGACCAAAGAUUUAUCGCCUUUGGAUGGGCCCGCGUUGGAUUAGCUAGUUGGUAGGGUAAAAGCCUACCAAGGCGACGAUCCAUAGCUGGUCUGAGAGGAUGAUCAGCCACACUGGGACUGAGACACGGCCCAGACUCCUACGGGAGGCAGCAGUGGGGAAUAUUGGACAAUGGGCGAAAGCCUGAUCCAGCAAUGCCGCGUGAGUGAUGAAGGCCUUAGGGGUGUAAAGCUCUUUUACCCGGGAUGAUAAUGACAGGACCGGGAGAAUAAGCUCCGGCUAACUCCG
rnacentral:rRNA from 1 species